rnacentral:lncRNA from 1 species
GCCUCACAGUCAUGACCAGCAAGACACCAGCAGUCACAUAGUCACUCAGGUACAGGCCGGCCAGGUGCUGUUUCUCCCUCCUCUUGAUAUGCAGUGCUGCCCCAAAUGUUUCACUUGGCUAGAGAUGCAUUCCCGUGUGUGUGAUGUGGAAUUCCCCACAAAGGAGAAAACCGUCAUGAGAACACUUCAGUGCACGGCACUUGAUACAGAAGAAACAAACUGAACUAAUUUUCAUCUUAAAAGUUUAAAACACAAUUAAGUGAAACUUCCACAUAUAACCUUCUGCCAACACUGCAAAGGAUGUUAACAAAUUGUUGCUAAGUAGGGCAGUCAGACAGCUAUUCAUCACAGUCUUUUAACUUAAGAGAAUUUCAAGUGGACGCAAGGGACAAGAAGCAGAGAGCUGUCCCUGCACUGUGACUCAGCACUGCCUGGCCCCUGUCCCUCGUCACCCACAUCAGUGACUGUCCACAUCAGAGCCAUCGCAGCGGGGACUCUCCUUCAGCACUUCCACGUUUGUCUCAUGCAGUCCGUAGAGACCCUCAACGCAGGCACCAGCUGCUUCCCGGACAGUGUGAUGCACUUCUGGAAAAAGCUGUGGGUCUGGGCAUUUUCAGCCAGCUCUUAGCUCUUAAGGACACAGCAGCAUAUACUGCAGACCUGCCCCAGAAGCCAGUCUCAUUCCUAUUCAAGGAUCACAACUGAUCGUAAGACUGAUGGGGAGAAAGCACAAACGUGAAUCUUGCAAAGAUGUAAGAAAGGCUUUAGAACCAAAGCUUCAAGCCGUGUGACGUCACCAUCGUUGGGGAUCUCAAAUGUCUCUCCAAAGCCCUCAGCUGUAGUCAUCAGUGGAUUGAUCACAGCUGAAUGUGCAGUCAGGAGGUGGACCUGGUUGGAACAGGUGCGUGACCUGGUGGGAAGGAUCUCCGACCCCAGAUCCUCCCUUCUACCUCUGCUUCCUGGACGCCAUGACAUGAGCAGCUCUCCGCCAUGGCAAGCUCUUCCACCACGCCAUUUCUGCCUUCGAGCCUGCCAGCCACGGACUGAAACUUCUCAAACUGUGAGCCAAAAUAAAGUCCCCUUCUUUAAGUUGUGGGUGUCAG